rnacentral:misc_RNA from 1 species
CCAUGUGGACAUUGUAGAUAGUCAUUUAGUGAUUCCUUUCAUGUUAAAUAUAUGGAGUUGUUUGUUUUUAUUUCCUUCUCAAAUCUAUGAUUUUGUAACGUGGAAGAACAAGCAUGCUGGCUCAACUGAAAGCAAUUUUAUCUUUUUCCGUGUUGGUCAUGGGUGCUAUCGGGGUCUUCGUUGUCUGUAUUUGGAAAAUCAUUAAACUCUUUGCUCUUUAUAAAAUGGAAACGAGGAUUGAGGAGCUAGAGGCUAAUUCAAAGGACGAAAAUGGUAAAAUCCCUGACUUAAAGGAGGUGAUAUCACAGUUAAGCCCGAAUGAGGCUCGCACUCUUCGUCGACUAUCUUAUUUGGCGGGAUUUGAUAAACGGAAAACAUCGAACCAAAGCGGUGAUAGUGUCUUUCCGAAUGAAGAGGGACCAUUAAGUACGUUUAGAAGAUUUAGCAGUCCAAAUAUGAGGAAAUUGAGCUCCAUAUCCAACAAAUUAGGAAAUAUAUCAGUUAGCUUUCAUCAAAAUCAUAAUAACUCGGCCUCUAGCAAAAAUAUGAUUGUUCCAAAUUCUAGCAAUAAUAAAACCUUUGACCUACAACAACAAUUGAAGUCAACUCAGACUCAUCGUUUACAUGCUUUGACUCCAAUUCCAUCCAAAUUGUCAUUGCAUAAAGAAACGCUUGAUGAAGCUAUAUCAGCAUGUCAAGAAGACAUGGAUCCAUCGACACCCUCAUCCCUUAGCCCUACUUGUCAAACAUCGUCCUCAACCAAUAUCAACACGCCCGUCCAUCAUGGCCAUUCUCGUAUAAGACAUAAUCCUCACUGUGCCGUCCAUGGAGAGGAUAUCCUCGAUCAAAGUCUCAUUCGUAAUACCUCAUGGCCAUCAGAGUUUUUGUUACUCCCUCCUCCAAUCCCUAGUGUUCCUAAUAAAGACGCUGCAGUGAAUACAGAAAGUAAUCAACUAAACUCAAUAGUUAUUCCUACCAUACCACUUCAUCCCGGAUACUUGUGUCCCUGUCAGUUAAUGUUGGUCAAAAGAACUGCCGUUGAUGGAAGUAGCACAAGGCAGUGUAUAGAAGAAUCCUUGAGUGGUACAACCAUCGUUCAAUCGGGAGGAAAUCGUCUUUAUCGGCAUAUGGAAGAAGAGGGGGAAGAUGAAGUGGAUGGCGGAGAUGAAGAAGAGGAUGAUGAAGACGCAACUGCUGAAGGAGACUCUGAAAUUAACACGGGAAAGGAUAUUUCCUUCUCUGCGAAAGAAAGUUUAUACCGAUCAUAGCGGUAAAGAGGCGUCCUUGACUCCCGUUUUCAUCGCAACAACUAUCUUACAAAAAUACAUAUGAAAUCUUUAAAAAUCAUUCAGACAUUUAUUAGAUUAAUAGAUCUAUAUACCUACAUAAUGAAUGAAAAUAAUAAGUCCAUUGUGUUCAACUUUCCAGGAGUUCUUCAGAAAAUAUUUGGUCGGACAACAAAACAUGCACUCCAGAGGUUUCUCGCCUUCAUCACUUCUUUCAGAAGAUGGCGUACAGUCCUCAAGUAUGAGGACAAUCCCAAGUCGCCCUUUACGGACCUGAUGAUGGACCUAGUUAGGUUCGCCAAUCAUCCCGUAUUUUGAUAAAAAAAAGUACUCGUCCCGUAUUGAUCUGAAAAUGGACGCACUUUGUCCUGUAAUACUGUGAGCUUUAAAAAAUGGUUUGUAAAAUGUCCCGGAAAAAUUAAUAACAAUGUGCUUUAGAUGAAAUUUUAUGGUGAACAUGUUCCUAGGCCAUGUCCUUCUCUGGGACCAAUGAGCUGACAACAUAUUCGCACACGUGUACGAUGACACAGAAUACGCUCAUCCCAUUGGCUGAUGAGGUACGUUUGCGCGCGCAGAAUAUAGUGGGAAAAAACAAAGCAACAACAUGGCAGUGAUUCAGACACUCCUCCACACGGGGGUCGAGCUUCAAACAGCCAUUCAACUAGCACUCAUCUAAAAAAAAAAAAAAAAAAAAGGAUGUAAAAAUACCGGGAAGAGUGGGAGAAAGCUAACGCCUGAGUAGAAAAGGCAAUCGGAUCGGCGUACUCUGAAAAUUGUGCUCUCCACCUCCUGCUUUCCUGGAGAGGUCUUCACCAUCAUUCUUCAUUUUGGCCACCUUGAAAACCAGGCUGCUGAAGCACUUCCCAAAGUCCAUAAUCCUCACCACCUCAACUUCAGCAUCUAGGAGAUCUGAGAAGCGCUGCUUUUUGGUUGUUUGCUCACUCAUGAUGACGAGAUUAUUAAAUGUUUAUUAUUGUUUUGUUUUUUUAUGUACAAAAAAUGGCUGAACCAAAUCUUCAAAAAUAAGUACUAAAUCUUCCUAUAACAAUCAGAAAGUUCAGAUUGAUUAACAGUCCACGUUUUGCUGCCCAACCUUGUACAUAUUCAUAUCAUUAUUACAUAGAUGAUUCCUUAGGCUCAAAUAUUAUGUACCGUACAUUUUUUAAUAAUGUUUUACUGAUUCAAAGUCUAAUGUAAGUUUUAUAAUAUCUAUGAUUUUUGUAUUAUUUAUUAUUUUGUAGCAGUUAUUUAAGUUCAUUUCUUCCCUUCUACGAUCCUCAUUUGACUCUAGCUACAAUAAUACAAAUAUUUUCAAACAGCAA